AUACGUAUGGGGCGAGCGUUGUUCGGAGUUAUUGGGCGUAAAGGGCGUGUAGGCGGCUCGAGAAGUCUGGUGUGAAAUCGCAGGGCUCAACCCUGCGGGUGCGCUGGAAACUGACGGGCUUGAGUCCCGGGGGGGAAGCUGGAAUUCCUGGUGUAGGAGUGAAAUCUGUAGAGAUCAGGAAGAACACCGGUGGCGAAGGCGAGCUUCUAUUCGAGGACUGACGCUGAGGCGCGAAAGCGUGGGGAGCAAACAGGAUUAGAUACCCUGGUAGUCCACGCUGUAAACGAUGUGCACUAGGCGUGGGGCACGUCGGUGCUCUGUGCCGAAGUCAACGCGAUAAGUGCACCGCCUGGGGAGUAUGCUCGCAAGGGUGAA
rnacentral:rRNA from 1 species